rnacentral:rRNA from 1 species
GACGAACGCUGGCGGCGUGCCUAAUACAUGCAAGUGGGACGCAAGGGAACACACUGUGCUUGCACACCGUGUUUUCUUGAGUCGCGAACGGGUGAGUAACGCGUAGGUAACCUGCCUAUUAGCGGGGGAUAACUAUUGGAAACGAUAGCUAAUCCGCAUAAUAUUAAUUAUUGCAUGAUAAUUGAUUGAAAGAUGCAAGCGCAUCACUAGUAGAUGGACCUGCGUUGUAUUAGCUAGUUGGUAAGGUAAGAGCUUACCAAGGCGACGAUACAUAGCCGACCUGAGAGGGUGAUCGGCCACACUGGGACUGAGACACGGCCCAGACUCCUACGGGAGGCAGCAGUAGGGAAUCUUCGGCAAUGGACGAAAGUCUGACCGAGCAACGCCGCGUGAGUGAAGAA